AUUGAACGCUGGCGGCAUGCCUUACACAUGCAAGUCGAACGGUAACAGGUCUUCGGAUGCUGACGAGUGGCGAACGGGUGAGUAAUACAUCGGAACGUGCCUAGUAGUGGGGGAUAACUACUCGAAAGAGUGGCUAAUACCGCAUGAGAUCUACGGAUGAAAGCAGGGGAUCGCAAGACCUUGUGCUACUAGAGCGGCCGAUGGCAGAUUAGGUAGUUGGUGGGAUAAAAGCUUACCAAGCCGGCGAUCUGUAGCUGGUCUGAGAGGACGAUCAGCCACACUGGGACUGAGACACGGCCCAGACUCCUACGGGAGGCAGCAGUUGGGAAUUUUGGACAAUGGGCGCAAGCCUGAUCCAGCAAUGCCGCGUGCAGGAUGAAGGCCUUCGGGUUGUAAACUGCUUUUGUACGGAACGAAAAGCCCUGGGUUAAUACCCUGGGGUCAUGACGGUACCGUAAGAAUAAGCACCGGCUAACUACGUGCCAGCCGCCGCCGUAA
rnacentral:rRNA from 1 species